GUCUAUGGCCACGCCACCCUAAAUGUGCCUGAUCUUGUCUGAUCCUGGAAGCUAAGCAAGGCCGGGCAUGGUUAGUACUUGGAUGGGAGACCACCUAGGAAGACCAGGUGCUAUAGGCA
rnacentral:rRNA from 1 species